rnacentral:rRNA from 1 species
GACGAACGCUGGCGGCGUGCUUAACACAUGCAAGUCGAACGAAGCACUUCAGUGGCGAUCUUCGGAUCAAAACUGAUUUGACUGAGUGGCGGACGGGUGAGUAACGCGUGAGCAACCUGCCCAUAAGAGGGGGAUAACAGUUGGAAACGACUGCUAAUACCGCAUAAGACCACAUUACCGCAUGGUAAAGGGGUCAAAGAAAUUCGCUUAUGGAUGGGCUCGCGUCCCAUUAGGUAGUUGGUAGGGUAACGGCCUACCAAGCCGACGAUGGGUAGCCGACCUGAGAGGGUGAUCGGCCACACUGGAACUGAGACACGGUCCAGACUCCUACGGGAGGCAGCAGUGGGGAAUAUUGGGCAAUGGGCGCAAGCCUGACCCAGCAAUGCCGCGUGAAGGAAGACGGUUUUCGGAUUGUAAACUUCUUUUAAGAGGGACGAUAAUGACGGUACCUGCAGAAAAAGCAACGGCUAACUACGUG